UACAGAGGGCUCAAGCGUUGUUCGGAUUCAUUGGGCGUAAAGGGUGCGUAGGCGGCGCGGUAAGUCGGGUGUGAAAUCUCGGAGCUUAACUCCGAAACUGCAUUCGAUACUGCCGUGCUUGAGGACUGGAGAGGAGACUGGAAUUUACGGUGUAGCGGUGAAAUGCGUAGAUAUCGUAAGGAAGACCAGUGGCGAAGGCGGGUCUCUGGACAGUUCCUGACGCUGAGGCGCGAAGGCCAGGGGAGCAAACGGG
rnacentral:rRNA from 1 species